CAUUAGUAUGUCAUGAGGGCAUUUUUUACAAAAUAAAGUACAUUUUGAAGUAUAUCCAAUUGAUGUUUCUUGGAUGCAGCCUUAGUAGAUUACAGCUAACUUAAUGCGGCAUUCCAACAUGAAAAGGUUCCCUACCCCUGGUCUAGCCAAUACAUUUUUGUAGGUAAGGCAAUGGGAACAUUUUGAGUGAUUGCAGGAUCUGGAAGAACGGUGCUU